rnacentral:rRNA from 1 species
CAGACCUCUAAUCGGAAAAGACUACCCGCUGAGUUUAAGCAUAUCACUAAGCGGAGGAGAAGAAACUAACCAGGAUUUCCCUAGUAACGGCGAGCGAACCGGAAAGAGCCCAGCUUGAAAAUCGUGGUGCCUCGUACCUCGAAUUGUAGUCUGGAGAAGGUCCCUCUGCGCCGCGCCGGACCCAAGUUCCCUGGAAAGGGACGUCAUCGAGGGUGACAACCCCGUCCGCGCCCGGAACGCGUCGCUCCACGAGGACCUGUCUGCGAGUCGGGCUGUUUGGGAAUGCAGCCCUAAGCGGGAGGUAAAUUCCUUCCAAGGCUAAAUAUGGGCAAGAGACCGAUAGCGAACAAG